UUAAGUUAUUAAGGGCGCACGGUGGAUGCCUUGGCACUAGAAGCCGAUGAAGGACGUUACUAACGACGAUAUGCUUUGGGGAGCUGUAAGUAAGCUUUGAUCCAGAGAUUUCCGAAUGGGGAAACCCAGCAUGAGUUAUGUCAUGUUAUCGAUAUGUGAAUACAUAGCAUAUCAGAAGGCACACCCGGAGAACUGAAACAUCUUAGUACCCGGAGGAAGAGAAAGAAAAUUCGAUCCCCUUAGUAGCGGCGAGCGAAACGGGAAGAGCCCAAACCAACAAGCUUGCUUGUUGGGGUUGUAGGACACUCUAUACGGAGUUACAAAGGACGACAUUAGACGAAUCAUCUGGAAAGAUGAAUCAAAGAAGGUAAUAAUCCUGUAGUCGAAAAUGUUGUCUCUCUUGAGUGGAUCCUGAGUACGACGGAGCACGUGAAAUUCCGUCGGAAUCUGGGAGGACCAUCUCCUAAGGCUAAAUACUCUCUAGUGACCGAUAGUGAACCAGUACCGUGAGGGAAAGGUGAAAAGCACCCCGGAAGGGGAGUGAAAUAGAACCUGAAACCGUGUGCUUACAAGUAGUCAGAGCCUGUUAAUGGGUGAUGGCGUGCCUUUUGUAGAAUGAACCGGCGAGUUACGAUUUGAUGCAAGGUUAAGCAGUAAAUGUGGAGCCGUAGCGAAAGCGAGUCUGAAUAGGGCGUUUAGUAUUUGGUCGUAGACCCGAAACCAGGUGAUCUACCCUUGGUCAGGUUGAAGUUCAGGUAACACUGAAUGGAGGACCGAACCGACUUACGUUGAAAAGUGAGCGGAUGAACUGAGGGUAGCGGAGAAAUUCCAAUCGAACCUGGAGAUAGCUGGUUCUCUCCGAAAUAGCUUUAGGGCUAGCCUCAAGUGAUGAUUAUUGGAGGUAGAGCACUGUUUGGACGAGGGGCCCCUCUCGGGUUACCGAAUUCAGACAAACUCCGAAUGCCAAUUAAUUUAACUUGGGAGUCAGAACAUGGGUGAUAAGGUCCGUGUUCGAAAGGGAAACAGCCCAGACCACCAGCUAAGGUCCCAAAAUAUAUGUUAAGUGGAAAAGGAUGUGGCGUUGCCCAGACAACUAGGAUGUUGGCUUAGAAGCAGCCAUCAUUUAAAGAGUGCGUAAUAGCUCACUAGUCGAGUGACACUGCGCCGAAAAUGUACCGGGGCUAAACAUAUUACCGAAGCUGUGGAUUGUCCUUUGGACAAUGGUAGGAGAGCGUUCUAAGGGCGUUGAAGCAUGAUCGUAAGNACAUGUGGAGCGCUUAGAAGUGAGAAUGCCGGUGUGAGUAGCGAAAGACGGGUGAGAAUCCCGUCCACCGAUUGACUAAGGUUUCCAGAGGAAGGCUCGUCCGCUCUGGGUUAGUCGGGUCCUAAGCUGAGGCCGACAGGCGUAGGCGAUGGAUAACAGGUUGAUAUUCCUGUACCACCUAUAAUCGUUUUAAUCGAUGGGGGGACGCAGUAGGAUAGGCGAAGCGUGCGAUUGGAUUGCACGUCUAAGCAGUAAGGCUGAGUAUUAGGCAAAUCCGGUACUCGUUAAGGCUGAGCUGUGAUGGGGAGAAGACAUUGUGUCUUCGAGUCGUUGAUUUCACACUGCCGAGAAAAGCCUCUAGAUAGAAAAUAGGUGCCCGUACCGCAAACCGACACAGGUAGUCAAGAUGAGAAUUCUAAGGUGAGCGAGCGAACUCUCGUUAAGGAACUCGGCAAAAUGACCCCGUAACUUCGGGAGAAGGGGUGCUCUUUAGGGUUAACGCCCAGAAGAGCCGCAGUGAAUAGGCCCAAGCGACUGUUUAUCAAAAACACAGGUCUCUGCUAAACCGUAAGGUGAUGUAUAGGGGCUGACGCCUGCCCGGUGCUGGAAGGUUAAGAGGAGUGGUUAGCUUCUGCGAAGCUACGAAUCGAAGCCCCAGUAAACGGCGGCCGUAACUAUAACGGUCCUAAGGUAGCGAAAUUCCUUGUCGGGUAAGUUCCGACCCGCACGAAAGGCGUAACGAUUUGGGCACUGUCUCAACGAGAGACUCGGUGAAAUCAUAGUACCUGUGAAGAUGCAGGUUACCCGCGACAGGACGGAAAGACCCCGUGGAGCUUUACUGUAGCCUGAUAUUGAAAUUCGGCACAGCUUGUACAGGAUAGGUAGGAGCCUUUGAAACGUGAGCGCUAGCUUACGUGGAGGCGCUGGUGGGAUACUACCCUAGCUGUGUUGGCUUUCUAACCCGCACCACUUAUCGUGGUGGGAGACAGUGUCAGGCGGGCAGUUUGACUGGGGCGGUCGCCUCCUAAAAGGUAACGGAGGCGCUCAAAGGUUCCCUCAGAAUGGUUGGAAAUCAUUCAUAGAGUGUAAAGGCAUAAGGGAGCUUGACUGCGAGACCUACAAGUCGAGCAGGGUCGAAAGACGGACUUAGUGAUCCGGUGGUUCCGCAUGGAAGGGCCAUCGCUCAACGGAUAAAAGCUACCCCGGGGAUAACAGGCUUAUCUCCCCCAAGAGUUCACAUCGACGGGGAGGUUUGGCACCUCGAUGUCGGCUCAUCGCAUCCUGGGGCUGUAGUCGGUCCCAAGGGUUGGGCUGUUCGCCCAUUAAAGCGGUACGCGAGCUGGGUUCAGAACGUCGUGAGACAGUUCGGUCCCUAUCCGUCGUGGGCGUAGGAAAUUUGAGAGGAGCUGUCCUUAGUACGAGAGGACCGGGAUGGACAUACCUCUGGUGUACCAGUUGUCGUGCCAACGGCAUAGCUGGGUAGCUAUGUGUGGACGGGAUAAGUGCUGAAAGCAUCUAAGCAUGAAGCCCCCCUCAAGAUGAGAUUUCCCAACUUCGGUUAUAAGAUCCCUCAAAGAUGAUGAGGUUAAUAGGUUCGAGGUGGAAGCAUGGUGACAUGUGGAGCUGACGAAUACUAAUCGAUCGAAGACUUAAUCAA
rnacentral:rRNA from 1 species